AUUGAACGCUGGCGGCAGGCCUAACACAUGCAAGUCGAGCGGAUGAAGGGAGCUUGCUCCUGGAUUCCGCGGCGGACGGGUGAGUAAUGCCUAGGAAUCUGCCUGGUAGUGGGGGAUAACGUCCGUAAACGGGCGCUAAUACCGCAUACGUCCUGAGGUAGAAAGUGGGGGAUCUUCGGACCUCACGCUAUCUGAUGAGCCUAGGUCGGAUUAGCUAGUUGGUGGGGUAAAGGCCUACCAAGGCGACGAUCCGUAACUGGUCUGAGAGGAUGAUCAGUCACACUGGAACUGAGACACGGUCCAGACUCCUACGGGAGGCAGCAGUGGGGAAUAUUGGACAAUGGGCGAAAGCCUGAUGCAGCCAUGCCGCGUGUGUGAAGAAGGUCUUCGGAUUGUAAAGCACUUUAAGUUGGGAGGAAGGGCAGUAAGUUAAUACCUUGCUGUUUUGACGUUACCAACAGAAUAAGCACCGGCUAACUUCGUG
rnacentral:rRNA from 1 species